rnacentral:rRNA from 1 species
GUGCCAGCAGCCGCGGUAAUACGGAGGGUGCAAGCGUUGUCCGGAAUCACUGGGCGUAAAGGGUGCGCAGGCGGGUCAGCAAGUCGGAGGUGAAAGCCCGUGGCUCAACCACGGAAGUGCCGUCGAAACUGUUGAUCUUGAGUCCCGGAGAGGUUGACGGAAUUCGUGGUGUAGCGGUGAAAUGCGUAGAUAUCACGAGGAACACCAGAGGCGAAAGCGGGCAACUGGACGGGUACUGACGCUGAGGCACGAAAGCGCGGGGAGCAAACGGGAUUAGAAACCCGAGUAGUCC